rnacentral:miRNA from 1 species
ACCAGCCUGUGUCCACCUCCAG